ensembl:lncRNA
CAAAGACGAUAAUGGAUAGAAAAACAAAGUUCUUUGCAUGAUUAAAAUAUUUGAAUGAUUUUAACUCAAUGCUCUUUCCCACACUGCUGGAUCCAGAAAAGAAGCAAGACGUUGGGCUGCAACACCAGGAAGUGUCAAGAUGGAAAAUGUCGUGUAGAUUCUUUCUCAUCCAGACCAAAGAACUACAGACUCUUCACAACCUGCUCAAACUCUUGGUACAGGACCUCACCACACAGGUCAAGAAGGUUUCCAUCUCAUUUCUACUCUGAAG